rnacentral:lncRNA from 1 species
AUUUACCAUACACUUCGUUCAAGAAUGGCCGCAGUUUAUGCUAAUAACCCAACUAUUGCGCGCGGAAUAAAUCGCGCAUUCUGGGCUGCGCAACUGCUUCUUAUUACGGCUAUCUUUUCCGCGUGUGCGCAAGAGUAUCUGGAUUCACGCGAUUCGACGCAAAGUAUGCUAAACAACGAGAUAACUCAGUCUACGAAUAGCGCACGAAGAUUUACAAGAUACGGGAG